rnacentral:rRNA from 1 species
GACGAACGCUGGCGGCGUGCUUAACACAUGCAAGUCGAACGGAAAGGCCCUGCUUGCAGGGUACUCGAGUGGCGAACGGGUGAGUAACACGUGGGUGAUCUGCCCUGCACUUCGGGAUAAGCCUGGGAAACUGGGUCUAAUACCGGAUAGGAGCCAUUUUUAGUGUGAUGGUUGGAAAGUUUUUUCGGUGUAGGAUGAGCUCGCGGCCUAUCAGCUUGUUGGUGGGGUAAUGGCCUACCAAGGCGGCGACGGGUAGCCGGCCUGAGAGGGUGGACGGCCACAUUGGGACUGAGAUACGGCCCAGACUCCGACGGGAGGCAGCAGUGGGGAAUAUUGCACAAUGGGCGCAAGCCUGAUGCAGCGACGCCGCGUGGGGGAUGACGGCCUUCGGGUUGUAAACGCCUUUCGCUAGGGACGAAGCUUUUUGUGACGGUACCUAGAUAAGAAGCACCGGCUAACUACGUG